UACGUAGGGUGCGAGCGUUGUCCGGAAUUAUUGGGCGUAAAGAGCUUGUAGGCGGUUUGUCACGUCUGCCGUGAAAAUUCGAGGCUCAACCUCGAACUUGCGGUGGGUACGGGCAGACUAGAGUGUGGUAGGGGAGACUGGAAUUCCUGGUGUAGCGGUGAAAUGCGUAGAUAUCGGGAAGAACACCAAAGGCGAAAGCGCUCUGCUGGGCCGAAACUGACACUGAGAGACGAAAGCUAGGGGAGCGAAUGGG
rnacentral:rRNA from 1 species